rnacentral:rRNA from 1 species
UACGGAGGGUGCAAGCGUUAUCCGGAUUCACUGGGGUUAAAGGGUGCGUAGGAGGGCAGGUAAGUCAGUGGUGAAAUCUUCGAGCUUAACUCGGAAACUGCCGUUGAUACUAUCUGUCUUGAAUCCCGUGGAGAUGAGCGGAAUAUGUCAUGUAGCGGUGAAAUGCUUAGAUAUGACAUAGAACACCAAUUGCGAAGGCAGCUCACUACACAAUCAUUGACUCUGAGGCACGAAAGCGUGGGGAUCAAACAGG